AGUUAUAUGUACAGGAUGAUCACAUUUUAGAAAAAUUUUGCAAUUUUUAUUAGAACUUUAAAAGAAUUUAAUUGUGCUAAUGCAGAAAACUCCCCAAGAUAAAACCAAACAGGAGAGAUCCAAGAGUUAAUCAUUGCAUCGCUCUUUUGGGAAAAGAUGAUGUAAACCCCACACCAUGUGACACUGUAAUGAAUAAUACAGUAGUGAGAGAGGUGGGGGAGACGGGGGGACGCAAACACUGUAAAGGUUUGCUGAGAAAAAGAGAAGGAGGGUCCUGUAUCCUCAAGACUUAAACUGAGUAGACCGUGCGUUUUGCCGCGAAGACGAGAUGUGCUGGCUGCCGAUAGACCAUCCUCUGCUGCUUCCAGGUGACUCAACCUGCAGCUCCCGUCGACCCUCGCCGUGCUCCGUGGCUCAACUGCUCGCGUCGCGCCUGCGGAGGAUCGGGGACCAGCUGGAGAAAAGCUGGGCGGCCGAGCGGGCGGACGUCGGCUACAGCUGCGGGGACAGAGGGACUGUGGUGGUAAGCGGACGGGGUCACCUGAAGGAGGGCUUCCUGUGCGUUGCGCUGCACUUCACCGUGCUCGUGCUGUUCGUCGCGAGGCGACACCUGUAGGGCGCGAGGCUGCCUCACCAGCAACAGACGGUGCCUUUAGGAUUAUGCAUGAGGGAAAGCAACGGGCUCUCAUCAUUUGCACUUAAAGCAAAGGAUGGAGGAGAGUCGGAGGAUGCGGUGCAGGAAGAAGUGUGCACAGCGGGUGGAAAAGCGACAAACGAGGAAGCGGGUUAAAUUUCUGUUUCAGGAACGGAACUGCGUUUCUGACUAUUCUGCAUGUGGCAUGAAGACUAACUCAGGUCGGAUAUGGAUGCACUAUACCAAGCUGAGACGACACCAGCAGCCCUGCAGUCAGUCAGCGGCUAUAUCUACCCCUACGUGACUCUCCGAUUCUGUCAUCCCAUCUACAAGCCGGUGAUGUAAUCCUCCCCUGGUAGAGUGGAGGGAAAAGCUUACUAAUAGUACGCCUUUAAAAUUUUCACCUCCCACAAUGCGAGUGCAUCAGUGAAAACUGGGGUUAAACUCAUUAGACCUUCUGUAUCUAGGCUACAAUUAGUGCAGCAAUCCUUAAUAAUGCACUGAAAUGUUUCCAAGCUUCAUAAUGCACUGUACUUUUUCUUUUUUAAACAUAAGCUAAGUUAUAAGUGUAAGCAUGUAAAUAAUGAGAGUGGUUUUUACAGGUGUUUUCUACAGUGUUUAGAUGACGUUUACACAUCACUCUGCUUUUUUUUGUUUUUUUUAAUCUGUUGGGGGGAGUGUUACGUGGCUUUUUAUUAUAAAGAAAAUGCAUAGGAAGCUAUGCUGUUAUGCUGUCUGUGAUUUCUGCAAAAAAGAAAAAAGCUUUUUUUCCCCCUAGUAUAUUUAAUGUAAUGUGGGUAAAAUUCCUGAAACUGUCUUUUAUAAAGUGUAUGGUCUUUAUACUUUUAAAACAUUUCAUAUGAAUUUUUAGCAAUCCUGAUAAUAAAAACAUGUUUACUGAGAUAUAUUCUUUGUGUCACUGCAUUCAGACAAGAAAUACACCUGAUAUUUGAGCUAAAGUGCUUUAUUUCAAAACCAAUGAUCUCAGUGCUGCACUGCACAUUUUCCAUAAAGUCCUAGAGUCUAUUAAGCAACCCGAGGGAAAUUAUUCUAAAUAAAAUACACAGUAACAACAUAAAUGAGGAAUACAAAUGGAAGACAAUUUACAGUGUGGACGAUUAUCAGAUAUGUGCCUCUGAUGUCAGAGACAAUGUAUGAUUAUGGUGCCUGCCUGUACUACAUAUCAACACUUUUACAAUGUACCGUUUAUGGUCAGGCUACUUAAACGGCACACACCACCUUGUUCCUUAUUCAGUAUCUAAACAUGCUUAUGUUUUACCGACCACAACGUCUUCUACCUAAAGAGUACAAACUGAUUUUCCAUUAAGAAUCAUUCUGAGACAUUUCAUUUUCAAAUAAAGUCCAUUUGUAGAACUAAAUCAAUACAUGUGAUGAAAUUGUAAAGACAACUCGGAGCGUAUAUUCUGUCACGUUUUACAUUAUAACCGCACUUAAAACAAACUCUUAUAUUAAAAGUCAAAUAAAAAGUUACCCAUAGAUUACAACAGUAGCAAACCAUUGAAAUUGAGCUCAAGUUUAUGUUCCUUUACCACACUGAUAAUUUCUUUAAACAUGUGGCCUCAA